rnacentral:tRNA from 1 species
GACCGCGUAGCUCAGUUGGAAGAGCAUUGGGCUAGUAUUCCAAAGGUCGUAGGUUCGAAUCCCACCGUGGGCG